UCCGGCUUCUCGCCGGCAGUCCUCUUCGAGUGCCCGGCAUAACCCGCUGGCAACAAAGAGCCGGUGUUUCCGCGGAGGAUCACUCCUCCGGGGGCCAAUCGUCGAUUAGCCAUGCAGCACCUGUGCUGGUACCCGACUCUACGGGUCGCCGACCCUUUCGGGCGACUACUGCCAACAUGUCAAGCCCUGGUAAGGUUCUUCGCUUUGCAUCGAAUUAAGCCACGCGCUCCGCCGCUUGUGCGGGCCCCCGUCAAUUCCUUUGAGUUUUAGCCUUGCGGCCGUACUCCCCAGGCGGGGUGCUUAAUGCGUUAGCUGCGGCACGGAAGUCUUGCGACCCCCACACCUAGCACCCACCGUUUACGGCUAGGACUAC
rnacentral:misc_RNA from 1 species